rnacentral:lncRNA from 1 species
ACAGGCGCUCCCGCCCCUGUGCCGCGGCAGGGUGACGUCUCCGCAGCGCACUAGAGGUGCCGCUACUUCCGGGUCGGCCGAGCACACCUGGCGGCGUGGCGGACGCCUGAAGUGUGACAGUGGCGCGCGCCCCCGCCCCAGAACGGGGACUCGAGGGACUUUGCCCACCCCUGCAACAGCCCUCCCGCGCUGUCUCCCGGGCAGGGAGAAGGCUGGGCUCCCCCACCUGCCCCUGGCCGUCAGGUGGCUGUGGAGAAGCGGAGGCGCGGGCGCUCGGCCUUAACGUCCCGGGCUCUGGGGCCAUCCGUGACUCCCACACGCGGAGCACCUGCAGUUUGGGGAGGGAGGGAUCUGGGAGCGAUCGGCCAAAGCCUGGGGCUGCCGAGGAAAUGGCUCUUCGGAAUUAGGGAUCUGAGAGUGUGAGAUUUGACCUUUGUAGGCUGGUGGCGGCUGUGCAAUCUCUAGCUCCACCCACUCCCUCCAAAAGCUUUGUCCUCUGACAGCUCUGCGAAGGUUUUAGCUGAGUAUUUGUGAGCACGUAUUUCUUUUGCAGUAUUUUUAAAAAUCCUCUUGAUCUGAGGCAACUUCGCUGGCUUCCUCCCCAUUCCCUUGGGCAGGUUGAGAGUGUUGGUUCCUGGCCUGACCUCAGAAACUCAGAGAAGCACAGGAUGGGCAUAAACUACUUUAUCCAAAAGGCAGAACUUUGCAAACACAGUCGUAUCUGCUGUGUCUUUUUUGAUGUAAGUAGGAAUGAUGAGUAGGGUGAAGUCACAGGUAAACAACCCAAAACGAAUUUCCAUGCCCUCCCCACGGAUCCUAAAGCAGGGACUGGAGAUGGGGAGAGAGGCUAGAUGUACUUGGAACAAAAUUCACCUUGUAUUUAUUACCUGGGCGCUGGUGUUUUUUGAAAAAAGCAAACAAGAUAACCAUAUUAGUCUGAUGCUGAGACUAUGCCCUAUCUGUAAGAAUCCUUGGGCUGGGCGCGGUGGCUCACCCUUGUAAUCCCAACACUUGGAGGCCAAGGUGGGCGGAUCACCUGAGGUCAGGAGUUCGAGACCAGCAUGGCCAACAUGGUGAAACCCCGUCUCUACUAAACAUACAAAAAUUAGCUGGGUGUGGUGGUGGGCGCCUGUAAUCCCAGCUACUCAGGAGGCUGAGGCACGAGAAUCCCUUGAACCUAGGAGGCGGAGGUUGCAGCGAGCUGAGAUGUCGCCACUGCACUCCAGCCUGGGCGACAGAGCGAGACUCCGUCUCAAAAGAAAAGAAAAGAAAAGAAAAAAAGGCAGGGCACAGUGGCUCACGCCUGUAAUCCUAGCACUUUGGGAGGCCGAGGCAGGCAGAUCGCUUGAGGUCAGGAAUUCCAGACCAGCCUGGCCAACAUGGUGAAAACCUGUCUCUACUAAAAAUACAAAAAUUAGCUGGGUAUGGUGGCGCACGCCUGUAAUCCGAGCUACUAGGGAGGCUGAGACAGGAGAAUCGCUUGUACCUGGGAGGUGGAGGUUGCAAUGAGCUGAGAUCGUGCCAUUGCACUCCAGCAGCCUGGACAACAGAGCAAUACUUGGUCUAAAAAAAAAAAAAAGAAAGAAAUGCAACGUAGGUCUCUCACGAAAUUAGCCCAAAUCUUCAGCCAUCUUCUACAGGCUGUGAAACCAGGAGAGGAAUUGAGUCCAUCUUACCUUGACCUCCCAGGCAGGGAGCGGACCAGGUAAUUUUUGGGUGACAAUACAACUAUUCUGUUAAUGCACCUUUUUCUUGAGGUAAGUUCUAAUGUGAUCCGUUUUGGUUACAGCUUUCUAUAACAGAAUAUUUUAUUCUUUCAUCUUUAAUGUUUCUCUAGUUUUCUCUUUUAGGAUUUAGAGAUCAUUCAGUCUCAUCUCAAAUAUUUCAAUUUCCAUGUGGUUCUUUCAUAAACAUUUAUCCACAGUGAGCCUGCCCUGCAUUCUUUGGGUGUGGCUGACAGUUGCAGCCACCCUCAGGUCUGCGGGGGUGGGUGUGUUGCCCCUGAACUGCAAUAGCAGAAUUUCUCCCUAGCCUGGCAGGGGAGUGCAAUCGUGGACUUGCUUUUCCACCCGCUGGGGUUGCAUUUCAUAGGUGCCGAGUGCCUGGGGGGCCCAGGCCUUUUCACAUGAGGGUUUUCAGCCCAGAUGUCCCUCCUGCUCUAGGGGAACCCUUCACAUCAGUCAGGUGACUUGCUGGACUGGUAGAGCCUCUGCCAUCAGCCUCUGAUGCAAAACCUUUUCUCAGGUGUCUGUGCGGUCCAUGGAGACCCGAGUUCCCAGGUUUGGGAGGGAUGCCACUUUCCUUAGGAAGAACAGCAAUGUAUGUCGUCCUUCCCAUCCAUGCAGAUGGGACAGGGCUCUCAGGAAAUCUGCCAUUAGCAUCGCCCUAGAAGAUGCACAGGCAGAGGCAGCUGCUGGGCACAGGCACUUGGGGAAGACAGGAGCCAUGACGCCACGCCACCUGUUGGUACCCAAAGGAAGUGGCUCUUUUGGCUGCUUGGCACCAUUCUUAUGACCCUUCCAUUUUGUUUCUAGUCUCAGAAGGGGUGGAGAAAGUCAUCCUUCCUAAAUGGUGUUGACUCUCAGACAUCUGACCGUGCCAGGAGAAUGGCUGUGCAAGGCGGCAGCCCAGGCCCGGGCAGGUGGCGGCCAGGAGUUGGGACCACAGAGGGCACUAGCAAGAGCAGCAGCUGCUCCGAGAUGCUUUGGCACAAGUCAGGAUACGUAUUUUGUAGUUUUCUCUUGUUUUUUAUUUUUCUGAGGUGGAGUCUCACUCUGUCGCCCAGGCUGGAGUGCAGUGGUGCAAUCUCAGCUCACUGCAAGCUCCGCCUCCCGGGUUCAAGCGAUUAUCGUGUCUCGGCCUCCAGAGUAGCUGGGAUCACAGGUGCACGCCACCACACCCAGCUGAUUUUUGUAUUUUUAGUAGAGAUGGGGUUUCGCCAUGUUUGGUCUUGAACUCUUGGCCUCAGGUGAUCUGCCCCCCUCAGCCUCCCAGAGUGCAAGGAUUACAGGCGUGAGCCACCGCACCCCACCUCCCGGCCUUUUCUCUUGUUUCAUUUUGGUAAACUAAAUUAGUUUAAUACCUCUACCCCAUCGGUGGUUGGAAUUCCCCACCUCAAUCAUUUUGGGGGCUCUCUGCCUCCUUUGAAUAGGACAGAUCUCCAGGGGUUUACCCAGGCUCCGAAGAGCCACUCCAGGCAGCCGGCUGUUUGGGGAGGUGCACCCUGGUCUUCUAGUCUGCGGAUUCCCUGCAUCGCUCCCCUGGUACUGCUCUCAAGCUCAAGGGUCACCUCAGCCAGAUGUGCCCUAGGCUGGCAGAGGUCCUUCCCCUAAAUGCAGCUGGGCAGGAUGCCACCCUUUCUACAAUAAGUUCGGUCCCAGGGAUUCCCCCAACACACACACACAUACAUUCUCUCUUACUCACAUCCUCACACACACUCACACACCCCACCACACUCACACACUUUCAAAAUCCACCGACUCUCACGCUCACACUCGCCAGCCCUUUCCCUUGCUCUGUCACUUCCCUCCAAGUCCCCGCCCCACACAGCCUCCUGCAGUCCCAGCCCCCUUGGUGCCAGCCAUCUCUGGUGCCAGCCAUCUCCCCCAAAUAUCCACCCUUCUGGGCUCCUUUCUGCCCAGAGGGACCUGAAGUUUCCCUAGGAAGCACUUGCUAAAGGCCUCCAGUCUCCAACUCCUGGGGAAGAAGGAUCCAGGCCUCUGCCGCACAAAGCCUCCACUGUUCUCUUGGGGCUGGCACCCCUUCCUGUGGCCCUGUGGCACCAAACAAAUUGAUUCAUCCAGCGAAUAUUUCUUAUUUACUCUGUUCCACAUGGUGGUGAGUGAAUCAACCCUGGACUCUCCCCACAAAGGACUUAAGAACACGCAGGUCAUGAACAAAUGAACACUUUUGCAUAAUUUUUAUGACCAACGGUGACCAGGCCAAGAGCAGGAUGAGGUGAUGGAGAAUACCUUGGCCUGGGGCAUCGGAGGAAACUCUUGCGAGGAUGUGCUACCUCCGUUGAAAGUGGGAAGAUGAGAGACCGGCUGUAAGAGGAGCAAGGGAAGGAGGUUCUGGAAUGAGAGAACAGCACGAACAAAAUGCCCGAGACAGGAGCGAGCUUGGCACCUUCAAGAAAAUAAAGAGGAGAAUCACUGAACCUGGCACGUGGAGGUUGCAAUGAGCUGAGAUCGCGCCACUGCACUCCAGCCUGCGAGACAGAGCGAGACUCCAUCUCAAAAAAAAAAAAAAAAAAAAAAAGGAAAGAAAAGGAGGCCAUUGGGAUGGCUGAGGCUGGAAGGGUGGACCAGGUGCCCCACAGGCAAGAGGUCCCAACUAUAGAUGAAGCACGCAGGCUACAGACAGAUACUUAGGUCUGAGGAGUCAUCCAACAUCGUGUUUCUGUAGCUGGACAACUCUUAGAACCUCCUCAGCAGCCUGCGGAACUGUUCCUUUUUAGGAGACGUAGACAGCACCCCAACAUUUUCUGAUAUCCUUGUUUUUAACUAUUGCUGCUUGCUGAAUCAGAGCAGCUGAAUUUGAACAAGACUGAAACAAGCUCAAUGUCGCUUCCUUCAAAGAUUAAUUCGACAUUCUGGGCUUGAGAUACUGAAUAAGCAACACCUGGCCUCAUCCGAACCCUGCAGAUGGAUUUUCCACCCAAGAUGUUUCAGAUUUCAACGAGAGUCCCGUUCUCCUGGAUAACGACGUUUCUGGGGAAGUGAGCACCCACAGAGGUCAUCUUGUAAUGGAACCCAGGGCAACCCCUUUGACCAUGCUCCGUACACGACUAUGAACAGUCCCAACGGCAGCCGGCUCCCUUCAGUUUCCCCACCGUUUGUCAACCCGGAGCCUCUUUUCCUUUCCAAGGAGACUGAGUUCUACAUUGAUGUGAUUGAAGUCUCUCCUCAAGGCUGUGUGCAGUGGCUCACACCUGUAAUCCCAACACUUUGGGAGGCAGAGGCAGGCGGAUCACUUGAGGCCAGGAGUUUGAGAGCAGCCUGGCCAACAUGGUGAAACCAUGUCUCUACUAAAAAUACAAAAAUUAGCCAGGCGUGGUGGCACAUGCCUGUAGUCUCAGCUACUAGGGAGGCUGAGGCAGGAAAAUUGCUUGAACCCAGGAGGCGGAGGUUGCAGUGAGCCAAGAUCGCACCACUGCACUCCAGCCUGGGCGACAGGGCAAGACCCUGUCUCAAAAAAAUAAAAUAAAUAAAUAAAUAAAUAAAUAAAUAAAGUCCUUCCUCAGGGUUCCUCUCAGGCCCUUCCCAAUAACUGUGUGUUCCUUUAGAGUAAUGUUGACCUUUUCUGGAAUAUCCAUGGGUUGGUUGCUGGGAACGGUCUUCAUUCUCACAGUAGAUGCGGCAAAGACAGCAGUUUUACUUUUUUAAUAUAACUUCCAGGCAUCUUAACCUUGGAAUUUUGAACAUACUAGGACGUGUCUUUCCAUGAAUAUUGUAAAUUGUCAGGCUGGUCUAACAAGGCGGUUUUGGAAUUCCACUUUGGGAGGUGUAGGAAGAAUAACUUUAGAGCGGACCAACCCUCAGACACUGCUGGUAGGCAUGUAAAAUGGUGCAGUCACUGCAGAAAACAGGACAGUGCUUCCUCCAAAAGCGAAACAUAGGACUACUAUACAUACUAUCUAUACAUACUAUAUAAACUGUAUAUAUACACUAUGUAUACAGUAUAGACAUAGUAUAUAUGUCUACACUAUAUACAUAGUAUAUACACAUAGUAUAUACACAUAGUAUAUAUACAUAGUAUAUACCCAGUAUAUAUACAUAGUAUAUACACAGUAUAUAUACAUAGUAUAUACACAGUAUAUAUACAUAGUAUAUACAUAUAGAUAUACGUAUAUACUAUGUAUGUAGAUAUAGAUACUAUCUAUAUAUAUAUUAUGCUUCCAGACUUAAUUAUUGCAAUACAAUUUUUUGUGUACUAUUAUGUAUAAUUAUAUUGUAAUUUUAUUAUUUAUUUAUUUUUGAGACGGAGUCUUGCUCUGUCACCCAGUCUGGAGUGCAGUGGUGCCAUCUCAGCUCACUGCAACCUCUGUCUCCCGGAUUCAAGGGAUUCUUCUGCCUCAGCCUCCCGAGUAGCUAUUACAGGUGUCGCGCCACCAUGCCCGGCUAGUUUUUUGUAUUUUUAGUAGAGAUGCGAUUUCACCAUGUUGGCCAGGCUGGUCUUGAACCCCUGACCUCAGGUGAUCCACCCUCCUUGGCCCCUCAAAGUGCUGGGAUUCCAGGCGUGAGCCACCGCGCCUGGACUGUAUUGCAAUAAUUAUACAUAAUACUACAUAUAUACAAAUAUACAUAAUAUUGUGUAUAUACAUAUAUACUGUAUAUAUAGAUAUAUAAAUAUAUAGUAGUUUAGAUAUAUGUAUGCUGAAUCAGAGAAGCUGAAUUUGAAACAAGCUUAAUGUCCUUUCCUUCAAAGAUUAAUGUUGUAUUAAUGUAGGUUAAUGUUGAAUAUACAUAUAUGGCUCUAUAUAUCUAUAGUAGAUAUAUAUCUACAUAUAUCUAUAGUGUAUAGAUAUCUAUAUACAUAUACUAAGUGUGUGUGUAUAUAUACGCCAAUUAAAAGCAGGGACACAGAUAUUUGCACACCCAUGUUCAUAGCCACAUUCUUCACAAUAGCCAAAAGGCGGAAGCAACCCAAGUGUCUACUGAUGGAUGAAUGGAUAAACAAAAUGUAAUAGAUGCACACAAUGGAAUAUUAGCCAUGAAAAAGAAGGAAGCAUGGAUCCAUGCUAUAAUACCAAUGGACCUUGAAGACGUGCAAAGUGAGCUGGACAUAACAUAGGUGGAAUCAUGCAGGAUGAUAGAAUAUUUAGAAUAGGAAAAUCCAUAGAGACAGAAAGUAGACUAGAGGUUACCAGGGGCUAGGAGGAGGAGGACGGGGGUUAUUGCAUCAUGGUUACAGAGUUUCUGGGUGGUGGUGAAAAAGUUUUGGAAAUAGUGGUGAUGGCCAUAAAAACAUUGUAAGUGUAAUUAACUGAAUUGUACACUUAAAAAUGGUUAGAAGGUGGCCAGGAGCGGUGGCUCAUGCCUGUAAUCCCAGCACUUUGGGAGGCUGAGAGGGCAGAUCAUGAGGUCAAGAGAUCGAGAUCAUCCUGGCCAACAUGGUGAAACCCCGUGUCUACUAAAAAUACAAAACUUAGCUGGGUGUGGUGGCAGGUGCCUGUAGUC